GAUGAACGCUAGCGGCAGGCUUAACACAUGCAAGUCGAGGGGUAUAGUUCUUCGGAGCUAGAGACCGGCGCACGGGUGCGUAACGCGUAUGCAAUCUACCUUUUGCAGAGGGAUAGCCCAGAGAAAUUUGGAUUAAUACCUCAUAGUAUGUGAGAAUGGCAUCAUUUUCACAUUAAAGUCACAACGGCAAAAGAUGAGCAUGCGUCCCAUUAGCUUGUUGGUAGGGUAACGGCUUACCAAGGCAACGAUGGGUAGGGGUCCUGAGAGGGAGAUACCCCACAAUGGUACUGAGACACGGACCAGACUCCUACGGGAGGCAGCAGUGAGGAAUAUUGGACAAUGGGCGCAAGCCCGAUCCAGCCAUGCCGCGUGCAGGAUGACGGUCCUAUGGAUUGUAAACUGCUUUUGUACAGGAAGAAACACUGGUUCGUGAACCAGCUUGACGGUACUGUAAGAAUAAGGAUCGGCUAACUCCGUGCCAGCCGCCGCGGUAAUAC
rnacentral:rRNA from 1 species